UACGUAGGGAGCAAGCGUUGUCCGGAAUCAUUGGGCGGAAAGCGCGCGUAGGUGGCCUCAUAAGUCCGCUGUGAAAGUCAAAGGCUCAACCUUUGAAAGCCGGUGGAUACUGUGAGGCUAGAGUACGGAAGAGGCGAGUGGAAUUCCUGGUGUAGCGGUGGAAUGCGCAGAUAUCAGGAGGAACACCAAUAGCGAAGGCAGCUCGCUGGGACGUUACUGACACUGAGGCGCGAAAGCGUGGGGAGCGAACAGG
rnacentral:rRNA from 1 species